rnacentral:tRNA from 1 species
UGUGAAGUGCCUGAUUAAAGGACAAUUUUGAUACAAUUGAAUAAGUGUACCUCCCCCCCCUACACCUU